UCUUUCCACUAGAAAGUAAACCUUUGGGAGACAUAAACUGUAUCUUGUUCUUUGCUACAUGCUCAGAAUAUGAAGCAGGACUUGGCUCAUCAGAAGCACUGGUAAGAACAGAAAGCAAUGGAGUAUAGCAAAAAGACAGGCCUUGGCCACGAUCACUGUCUUCCACUGUCAAUCCGCAGACAGAGCAAUCCUAACAUGAAUAGGCCGAUGACCCUGAGAAAGCCUUCGGUGGGAGGAAAACAUCACCACAAUAUACAGUCCUCUAGACCUGCAUAGACCUCAGUCAUCGGCUUCCCAGCUUGAAGUGUCUGCAGGCUAUGCUACUGACAGGGUAAUAGGAUGAUAAACUCUUGGAUGUUGCAUGAGAAAUCGUCUAACUUGACUCCUGACUUCUGCACAUAGGGAAACAGAGGCCAAGAAAGGCAAAGAUGAGGAGCCUGAAGACCAAAGAGGUCACAGAGCUGAUAAAAAACAAGACAGUGAGAGAGAAUGUAACUUGCUAAUGGUCACACAGCCAGUACGUGGCAAAGCAAAGACUCCAGUCAGAUAUUCUUUAUUCAGAAUACUUUCUGCUACAUUCUUUCUAUGCAAAGCAUAUGGAAUUGGGUUGAACGUUCACUUACAGGAAAUGAGGAUUACAAGUGCCAGGAAUUAAGGACAUGGGACAGAGAGAAGAAGCACUGAUGGGAAAGCUCAGAUCAACAAAAGGCUGUUUUCAAAGGGUGAGUGGAAAGAAGUGUCAUACCAUUGCACAGCAGCCAAGACAAAUCGUCAAAGAACUUGGCAGCCUGGAAGAAAACCUUUCCUGAAGUUACAGAUGUGGAAUUAACCUUUACAUCCAUCCUGCAAAGUGGGAAGACACAGGCAAGUGAGAUUUAA